ensembl:snRNA U4 U4 spliceosomal RNA
AGCUUUGCGCAGUGGCAGUGUCGUAGCCAAUGAGGUUUAUCCAAGGCGCGAUUAUUGCUAAUUGAAAACCUGUCUUUAAACAAAA